ACUGACCAAAACGACCCUCCUCCAACUUAAAUGCUAAUGCCACAAGCCGUCCAUCUGGAGUACCACUCAAUGUAAUCUUCUCUUCAUUUUUUGUUUGGUCCAAAGCAUAAUUGCUAACUUCAAUUGGACAAGGUAAGUAACUAAGCACUCCAUUUAGAAGUGGUUGAACUCCCUUGUUUUUAAAUGCACUACCCAUGAAUACAGGUAUAAACUUCCGUGCAA
rnacentral:misc_RNA from 1 species